AGGGUUUGAUUAUGGCUCAGGAUGAACGCUGGCGGCGUGCUUAACACAUGCAAGUCGAACGAAGCAUUUAAGACGGAUUCUUUCGGGAUGAAGACUUUUAUGACUGAGUGGCGGACGGGUGAGUAACGCGUGGGUAACCUGCCUCACACAGGGGGAUAGCAGUUGGAAACGGCUGAUAAUACCGCAUAAGCGCACAGUACCGCAUGGUACAGUGUGAAAAACUCCGGUGGUGUGAGAUGGACCCGCGUCUGAUUAGCUUGUUGGCAGGGUAACGGCCUACCAAGGCAACGAUCAGUAGCCGACCUGAGAGGGUGACCGGCCACAUUGGGACUGAGACACGGCCCAG
rnacentral:rRNA from 1 species